CAUGGCAAUUUUGUUUUAUUUUAAAGGAGGACCAAGAAAAUCCUUCUGGAUUUUGGAGUAUCAGCCUCGACUCCGCUUCUUUCUGCAUUCUCUUGAUUGGCUUCAGGCUCCAGUGUCAGGGUCCAAUGUCUUUGUUCGUUCAAGCUGCUACAACAGAAUCCCAGACAGAGCAACAGACAUUUCCUUCUCACAGUUCUGGAGGCUGG
rnacentral:lncRNA from 1 species